UAGAUCAUAUUGAUAUGUAAACUGCUCUUUCUGUUUCCAUGCUUCCUGUGGACGGCUGUUUUGUAUUGACUCUUGAUUCUUUGAGUUUAAUUUCCUUCUAUCUGUCAACGGUGUUCUUAGAACGUCUUGAACUGGAUAAAGACAUGCAGGAGGCCUCAGAAUCCAGUUGGAGCCAACCUGGGCUUUGUAGAUAAACUGACAUGGGCUUUGUUUUGCUUUUUAACAUCUUGUGUGUUUGUUUUGGACUUGCCUUGCUUCUACAGACAGUGUUUCACUAGGUAUCCCAGGUUGAACUUGAACUCCAAAUCCUCCUUCCUCUGAUCCACUGUGUUGGGUUAUAGGCAUUGACCACCACACCUGGCCGCCACCGUGGGUCUGAAUCCUCAUUUGACCCUUUUUUAAUGUGCCUUAGGUAUUUAUUAAACUGACCUUGGAGUCUGUUUUCUGUCUAAGGUCUAAUACUCUCAUACAGACAGGUGUUGUAAAGAUUAAAUGAGGAGACUGCUAAAGUGUGCCUGAUGCCCUGAGAAGCAAACCAAGUUUGGUUUCUUGUUACAGUUCUGCAUAGAGAUGAAGACUUUCCCCCCUUGAAUACUAUCUUAAGUUUUUGCCUAGAUAACUGUGCUAAAAUUAAUAAAGUGACUUAGCUGUUAACACGUGUUUGUCAUUGUACUGGCUGUUUUUGUGUGUCAACUUGACACAGCUAGAUUCAUCAAAAAGAAAGGUGCCUUGGUUGAGGAAAUGCCUCUCAUUGAGACGCAGCUACAAGGCACUUUCUCAAUAUCACUGGGGGAGAGCCCAGCUCACUGUGGGUGGUGCCAUCCCUGGGCUGAUGGUCCUGUGUUCUAUAAGAAAGCAGGCUGAGCAAGCCAUAUGAAGUAGGCCAGUAAGCAGCAUCCCUUCAUGGCCUCUGUAUCAGCUCCUGCCUCCAGGUUACAGCCCUGCUUGCGUUCCUGCCCUGGCUUUCUCCAGUGAUGGGCUAUGAUCUGGAAAUGUGAGCUUAGGUAAACCCUUUCCUCCCCAGCUUGCAUUUUGGUGUUUUAGGUUGCAGGGAUUGAAACCCUAACUCACAAAAUCAUCAUGUCUGAGUAGUCAGGUGCAUUUUUAAGACAUGCAUGUGAGUGUCUUCAAAAAAAGGUCCCAUGUGCAGAUGGAGCAACCUCAGUGGUAAUUCUCCUGGACAGUUCUGAGAAGAUGUAUGGUCACAGUCUGAGGCUGGGAGAUCUGAUACUAUGGCAGGCAGCAGCUGUUUCCUCCAGAACUGUCAGUUGCUUGGCGGGGACCAGAAAAACAAUAAUGGUUCAAUUAUAAACUGUUAGUACAUUCAGAAUGUUACUUUCUAC
rnacentral:lncRNA from 1 species